ACGAAAGAAAGAAAAUAAGGCGUACGAAAAUGGAAAAGAGGACAUCGUGUGUGGUCGCUAGGCUACAAUAAGUGAGCGUGUGAGCGUUUAAUGCGUUGAGUGAGAGCAAGAGAAGGCAAAGUUGGGAUUUCGUAUGAAGCGAGUAAUUUCCCCACAAUUAUUACGCACUGAUGUUGUACAUCAUAGUAAGGAUUGCAGUGUCGACUCACAAACGCAGAUCAGCUGGUCUUUGGGGGUGGUCUUCCUCCGGACCUCAGGCAGAAACGAGGCAGGUUCGGUUGAAGAAAAACCAGGUGUGAGUUUAGAGUUUUAAAUACCCCAGGGGCGGGGCGUAGGAAGAGGGAGUGCCGACUUGGAGAAAGCCACGCCCACCGGCCGGAAUCUUGUCUACAAAUUUGAGUAAAUUGGUUUUAAAAUAAUAUUAAUCUCAAACACUCCCAACUUUGUACUCUCACGCAUAGAAUUAUUAUUUAAACUUUGGUGGGUUGCUUAAUUGUUCAAUACAACAUUUCGUACUGCUUGAUUUCAAAUCUUGAACAGCUUUCAUAAUCUUGCAGACAAACCUGUCAAAGUGAGAAUGGGGACACAGACACCAAGGCAUACAUUUGGAAUAUUUCUACAGUUUGCAAGGUGUACAAACUGACAUUUUAUGUUCCGUUAACGUCCACAAGUUCUGCUUGCAGUUCCUCUCAACGCCAGUGGGUGGAGCCUCACGCGCAUUGGUGGAUAUUAACCACAUAGUCUUCCCCAACCAUUUGGGGAUCUUUUGAAGGUUAAGGUCCACUUGACGAACACCGGGCAUUGUCCUCGUCGCCGUCUCACAGCAGGGCAGCGUGGAGUGGGGGUUGUCAGGCGGUCACGAGUCUCUGUGACGUCUCAAAGUUGCGGCGUGCUUGUCCGCUACAAGUAUAUAUCAAUAGUUUUGAUUGACACAGUCAUUGCUAAUUUAUCUGUUUACCAUAAUGGUUGUAGGUUGCAGUGGUGCAAUAGUGCACUGCACUCUAAGCUGUUUCUAACAUUUUGGGGUCAUUUUGCCUUUAGGCUCUGUGCAGGGUAAGUGUACCUCAUGAUUUUUUUAACAGUGAACUAUUUCGGGCCAGCACGGUGGACGACUGGUUAGCACAUCUCCUCGGAGUACUGAGGAGCCGUGUUCAAAUCCCGCCUCGCCUGUGUGGAGUUUUCCCCGUGCCUGCGUGGGUUUUCUCCGGGCACUCCGGUUUCCUGCCACAUCUCCAAAACAUGCAUGCUGCCAAGAUGUGCAGUCAAGAACUGGAUCUGGUACCUUGGUAGCUGCCCACUGCUCCUCAGGGGGACAUCGGCGUUACAGCACAACAAGCAGGACAUCUCAACCCAGCCACGGGCUGGCCUCGGCCACCGCUCCCCCCUUUGCCCUUUCUUUGUUCGGGCAUACGGCUCAGUAACCGCGGGCCUUGGGGAUGAAGAUCCAUCUCCCUAGCCUCUGUAGACCCCCGCUGCUAAACCUCCGGAACAGUGACUGCUGAGCUACCCAGAUACGCUCCCAGCCAAACGGUCGCGGACAUGCUGGUCCCUAGCCCAGCUGACUCUGGGCGAGAGGCGAGGGGCACCCUGAACUGGUCGCCAUACGAUCGUAGGAAGAAGUGUUUGGAUAUGGAGUACCGGUAAUCUUUCAAUAUUGCACACAAAACGAGUGAGAAGUGAUGAGCAGGCAAGUGUUUGCAGAGCAGAGGAAAUUAUGUGUGUAGUAGUCCUUUCCAUCGGAACAGUGACAAUAAUACACUUAAAUGCUGCCUGCAGAUUUUCAUUUAAAAUCUCUGCAAAUAGAUUACAAAGUCAGAAUGCAUAAAGGGAAAAUGAAGUCCUGCAAAUCCUUGCAACCACACGAGGGAAGAUUUAAGAAGGAGUGCAAUGGGUGUC